CAGACGGCUCGGCUGCACUUCUGAACCAAGAAGACCUGUCUUGACCUUUGACUUUUACUUUUUGCACUGAUGGUUAGCCCUGAGCGAAACCCGGUGACCCCUCUUUGAAUACAUUGUGGGUACACGUGUGUGUACUUGUUGUUUUAUUUCUGUAGAAUUACAUUCCUGUCAAACGGUUAGAGUCACCUGCUGGCAAGUGGAAUAAUAGCAUCGGUUGAGGACUUAUUCAAGUUAUAUAUUUGUUUCAAAAUAAAUAAUAACAUAUAGAGCUGUGCACAAUAUCUUGGUGAACAGCCUUUAUUUUUUUCUCGCACAAUUUUAUCUACCAAAUUUUCUGAAAUUGGUUCCAGACGGCAGCAAUAAGAGAUGUUAAUGAGUAUAUGUGGGUACAAAUUCCGGCACAUACAAGCCACUUCACAUUCGAUUACACCAGGUUUUGUUGCAUUCAAUGUUAUUGUGUGAUGUGUUGUAAGUAUUCAAAUAUAGGCCUACAGCAAGCAAGCUUUAACAUCUUUCCAAUCAAUCAUUAUACACCAUGUUCAUUUGUGUCAUACUCGAAGGUGUCUGCUAUACUUAUAAACGUACAAAAAAGAAGUGCCUUUGCUUUAAAACAACACCAUUUUAACUAGUUAGCUUUACCAUAAUCAAAGUUUGUAUUUUUGUUUGUUAGCUCUUUAGUUUGGUUUUAUUUUAGGGGGGAAAGGCUUCUCCAUGUUAAACCGACAUUGCAAGACUAUCAAGUAUGAAAAUUGAAUCAGGAAAUUUGACUCCUUAGGUCUGUUUACUGCUUGAAAUUCAAAAAAACAAUAAUGUAACAUUGGGUCGACAUGUUUUUAGUAACUGAAUUAGUUCCUAAAAUGUGUCUGCACAGACCAAUUCAAAUCAUUAUUUAUUUACCACUGUUUUUGUAGCGCUAAAACACUUGAGGUCUGUCUAUUUUGUUGCUUUUGUUUUAACAAUUCAAAAACAAUUUUAUUUACCGUGAAAAAGAACAAUACGCAUACCAAUGCUACCUGAGUCUCACUACCUCCCUGCUGCAUCUGUUUUAUAAUUGAAUGUACUCUAUAUUGUGUAUGCUCUGUAUUGUGCAUAAUUGUUAUACCUGAUGUUUAGGACUGAAUUCCUCUGCUUCAUAAAGAACAUUGUAGCACACCAUUUUACCAGCAAUACAACUUGUUGAAACAUGUUUUUAUUUUAUUUAUAGCCUUAGUUGUGUGUUACCGAGGUACAACCAUCAUUUAACUCAGCCCCACCUAACUGCUUUUCUUUCCCUCUCUAAAGAGUGUCUCUGAGCACAUGGUGUACGUGGGUGGUUUCCCCCGCAGGUGAAAGAACGUUUGAUUUUAUUGGUUGCUUUAUUGCUGCCAGUUCUCCACUCACUGUAGUAAUAAUUCUUUCACUUGCUGCUUUCUUUCUUUCUUUUUUUACCACAUACUCAUAAUUAAAAUGUAUUUUUUACCACCAACACAACUCUUGUGAGAUAAUUU
ensembl:lncRNA